AAAAAAAAAGGAAAAAAAAAU
rnacentral:sRNA from 1 species